AUACCAGUUAAACCUCGUUUUUCAAUUUGCUAGGAUUUAUCAUCCGUCUCUUUCUUCUCUUCAUCCUCAUCUCUCCUCUUCUUCUUCAAUGGCGUCUAUCUCCGCGCCACCCAAUUUCUCUGUCUCUCAAAUCACUUCCAAAUCUCGACAUCUCUCUCCUUCUCUUCUCCGCUUCACUUCUAAAGCCUUCCAUUUCCCUUCAAAUCCUUCGUUUUCCUCUCAAUCUUCCAUUCGUUUAAUCAAGAGUAUCAUUUCCUGCUCCAAAUCUUCUUCCGCAGCCCCUUCUCCGGCCGUACCUUUUCCUCGCCGCCGUCCUCAGUACAUUCCUAACCACAUCCCUGACCCUUCCUAUGUCCGUAUAUUCGACACCACUCUCCGCGACGGCGAGCAGUCCCCCGGCGCCACCCUUACCUCAAAGGAAAAGCUUGAUAUCGCUCGACAGCUGUCGAAGCUUGGUGUUGACAUUAUUGAGGCUGGAUUCCCUGCUGCUUCCAAGGAUGAUUUUGAGGCGGUGAAAACGAUUGCUAUGGAAGUGGGAAAUGCCGUUGAUGAGGAUGGUUAUGUGCCGGUGAUUUGUGGAUUAUCGAGGUGUAAUGAGAAGGAUAUUAGGACUGCGUGGGAGGCUGUGAAAUACGCCAAGAGGCCAAGGAUUCACACUUUCAUCGCCACUAGUGAGAUCCAUAUGCAGUACAAGUUGAGGAAGAGUAAAGAGGAAGUCUUGGAGAUUGCUAGGAGCAUGGUUAGAUUCGCCAGGAGUUUGGGGUGUGAUGAUGUCGAGUUUAGCCCGGAGGAUGCUGGCAGAUCUGAAAGAGAGUUCUUGUAUCAGAUCUUGGGUGAAGUUAUCAAGGCUGGUGCGACAACUCUGAACAUACCUGAUACUGUUGGGAUAACAUUGCCUAGUGAAUUUGGACAGUUGAUAGCUGAUAUAAAAGCCAAUACUCCUGGAAUAGAAAAUGUCAUUAUUUCAACACACUGCCAAAAUGAUCUAGGACUUUCUACAGCUAACACAUUAGCAGGAGCAUAUGCAGGUGCAAGACAACUUGAAGUAACAGUCAAUGGAAUUGGUGAAAGAGCUGGAAAUGCUUCAUUGGAGGAGGUUGUAAUGGCCAUAAAAUGUCGUGGAGAGAAUGUUCUAGGAGGUCUUUAUACUGGAAUCAAUCCUAAACACAUCACUAUGGCAAGCAAGAUGGUAGAAGAAUACACUGGAUUGCAGUUGCAGCCACACAAGGCUAUUGUCGGGGCCAAUGCUUUUGCUCAUGAAAGUGGCAUACAUCAGGAUGGAAUGCUAAAACAUAAAGGUACAUAUGAGAUUAUAUCUCCUGAAGAUAUUGGGCUUGAACGAACCAAUGAUGCUGGGAUUGUCCUUGGAAAACUCAGUGGUCGCCAUGCUUUGAAAGAUCGACUAAAAGAGCUCGGUUAUGAAUUGAAUGAUGAGCAACUUGGCAAUAUCUUUUGGUCUUUCAAGGCUGUAGCUGAACAGAAAAAGAGAGUUACUGAUGCAGACCUGAUAGCAUUGGUGUCGGAUGAAGUUUUUCAGCCUGAAAUUGUAUGGAAGCUUAGUGAUUUGCAGGUUACUUGUGGAACACUUGGUCUCUCAACUGCAACGGUUAAACUAAUUGAUGCUGAUGGCGAAGAGCACAUUGCAUGCUCUGUCGGACAUGGGCCGGUGGAUGCAGGAUACAAAGCUGUUGAUCUCAUUGUGAAGGAAGCAGUUGAACUCCUCGAGUACUCCAUGAAUGCUGUUACAGAAGGCAUAGACGCAAUAGCCACUACCCGUGUUGUAAUUCGUGGAGAGAAUCAUCACAUAACUAAUGCUUUAACAGGCCAACCGCAUCUACGUUCAUUUAGUGGAUCCGGUGCUGGAAUGGAUAUUGUUGUUUCCAGUGUGAAGGCGUACAUUGGGGCAUUAAAUAAGAUGUUAGCUUUUAAGCGGCAGUUGCCAACGGCAAGAGUCUCUGCAGAUAGAACCCCCCCGUAUCCGCAUGAUGAAGCAGUUUGUGCAAACCCAGUGUAGUGCGUGCCAAUUCGCCUUUUUUAUUAUGUUGAAAUAGAGCAGAAGUGCUUUUAUGUAGAAGUUUUUGUGCAGGAAACCAGACCAAAUUUUAGCUGCUAGGUGGGACAGGAAACUUCAAGCCUCCAGUAUUGGUGUUGUGGAAGACUUCUUUUCAUCACCUACUGCUGAAAGUUUUGAAUGAGUUAUUGGGUCUGGUAGAAUUUUCCUUUUCUUUUUUUAUUGUGUUGGGGACUGACUCACACUAAUGGUGAAUAAACUAAUUGUUAGCCUUUCUAUUU